GACGUGGAAGCCACUUGGGCCUGUUUCGUUGGUGCCUUGUGACACGUGAGUGAGGUCGGGGGACGCGAGUGGGGUCGCGGGGACACGUGUGGGUCGCGCCGUGGGGCUGGGGGACACGUGUGGGUCACGGUGUGGGGCUGGGRGACACGUGUGGGGCUGGGGGUGGCACCGUGGGGACGUGGAAGCCGCCCGCGAGCGCUUCGCCGGUGCCCUGCGACACGUGAGUGGGGUCGGGGGACACGAGUGGGUCGUGGGGAAAACGUGUGGGUCGCGCCAUGGGGCUGGGGGACACGUGUGGGUCGCGGCGUGGGGCUGGGGGACACGUGUGAGUCACGGUGUGGGGCUGGGGGACACAUGUGGGUCACGGUGUGGCGCCGUGGGGACGUGGAAGCCACCUGGGCCUGUUUCGUUGGCGCCCUGCGACACGUGAGUGGGGUCCUGUGGGGCUGGGAGACACGUGUGGGUCACGGCGUGGGGCUGGGGGACACGUGUGGGUCUUGAUGUGGGACCAGGGGACACGUCUGGGUCUUGGCAGGGUGCCACGGGGACGUGGAAGCCACCUGGGCCUGUUUUGUUGGUGCUUUAUGACACGUGAGUGGGGUCGGGGGACACCAGUGGGUCGUGGGGACACGUGUGGGUCGCGCCGUGGGGCUGGGGGACACAUGUGGGGCUGGGGGACCCGCCUGGGCGAAGCGCGGUGGCGCCGCGGCGACGUGGAAGCCGCCCGCGAGUGCUUCGCCGGCGCCCUGCGACACGGCCCGGACAAGGAGGCGCUGCGCUGCCUGUCGAUGGCGCUGCGCCAGGCGGGCCGGGACGCCGGGGCCGUGCGCGAGAGCGUGGAACACGCCAAGGCGGCCGUGCGCCUCGACCCCGCCGACGGCCGCUCCUGGUGUGAGUCCCGCCCUCGCCACGCGUGGCCUUGGCGUGUGCUGCCGGGCGCCGAGCCCUUUCCUGCCGUCUGUGUGUGUGUGUGCUGGGUCCUUGGCGUGUGUUGGCGUGUGCUGGCGUGUGCUGAGCGCCUUCCCAGUGUGUGUAUGUGCGCUGGGGGGUCCUUAGCGUGUGUUAGCGUGUGCUGGCAUGUGCUGAGCGCCUUCCCGGUGUGUGUAUGUGCGCUGGGGGGUCCUUAGCGUGUGUUAGCGUGUGCUGGCAUGUGCUGAGCGCCUUCCCGGUGUGUGUAUGUGCGCUGGGAUGUCCUUAGCGUGUGUUGACGUGUGCUGGCG
rnacentral:lncRNA from 1 species